GGCCUCUUAGCCUAACUGGUAUAGUGUGCACUGUUCAUAAGCGCAAGCGGCCUCCAUGCGUGGGUUCGAAUCCCACCGAGGCUA
rnacentral:tRNA from 1 species